rnacentral:lncRNA from 1 species
CCAAAAAGAGACAGAAAGAGAGAGAGAGAGAGAGAGAGGGAGCGAGCGAGAGAGAGCGCUGAUGGCUGGCAGAGGGUGUGCAAAGUCAAAUGGUUUGUCCUCUUUCCUUUGUUUACGCAAGAUUUGUUGCCAUUACGGGGCUUAAUCCGCGGGAUUUCUAGGGGUAACCGUCAACCGCCUACCCCAGGAUCUAGGAUCCAGAACCCUAGCACGAAAAGGUUUUUGACUCCGUGGCAGCCUAGGGUCCGUUUAGUGCUAAUGAAUAAUGCUAAGAAGUCAUUAAUUAAUUGAAAUUUCAUUACAGGACACACAGGCAGUGGGAUAGGGCGAGAGAGAGAGAGAGAGUCAUCUGGCAGAAGAACCCCCUCAAACCAUUACUCAGCUGUCGUUACCAUGGGGCUUAUGCUGAAUCAUCAUCAUCAACGUGCUGGCUGGGCACGCGGCAAAGUGGAGCAGGGCCAGGCCCGAAGAAGGCUUACGGAGCUGGCGCCUAACAGAAGGAAGACUUUACACAACAAAUUACUGGCCGACUGGGGACUGGCGACUGUCGACUGGUGACUGGCGGGGGUCGAAGAGCUUACGAAAGGCGUCUGACGAGCCCAAGGAAUCAGCAACCUGAUUGAUUUCAGUGCAAACAAAAGACCAGAACCAAUUUCACACCACGGAGUGCAUCACAUCUAUCAUUAACUGUGUGUUUUGCUUGUCCAUCCAAUUUUCAGUGUUUUUAUCACAAGAAAGUGCCAUAAUCCGCGAGCAAUCAAUUAGAUACAUGGAGCGAGCACUAAGCACACCACGAAGCGGCAGACAGAAGACAGAAGACAUCGGAACCACGGCAGAGAUAUUACUCGACACAGAGCUAUCAGUGUGACUGCGGCGGGUCUUAUCUUAUCGCUGCGUCUUCCGAUAACGAAUAGAAUUACUUUCUGUAUUCAUUCUUUUUGGGUGUGUUGUCGCCUAAUCUUGUGCCACCUCCACCUGGUCACCAUUCGUUGGGGACCUGGUCUCAGUUUGGCUUUGGCGGCGAGAGUGAAGACACACGUCUCCAGGCUCUCCAUGGCUGUGUGCUUUUCGUGACUCUGGGCACGGACAUGGACAUGGACACGGACACGGACACGGCCCACGAACAUGCCUCGGCUUAAUUGGCCAGCAACUGUGAGCUUUGUAAUCACCUUUAUGGGUCAUUUCAUAAUAUCGCCAGGCGAUGGCGAUGUCGAUGGCGUUGGCAACAAUGAAAGGAAACGGCGGCUGCCGUCGCAUCACGUGUGGCACGAUAAAUAUAAUUUGUCCUAGGCGCAUGUAAUUUUUACCUUCAACCGUAACUCCCCAACGAAAUUAUACCCCUCCACACAAAACAUAGUAUAGAAAAUAUUUAUUAACAUUUUCACUUUUUUUGCAGGCCUGAUUGCUCACCUCUCCGCGGCUUUGGCAUGGCACCAGCUGCGCACCCCUCGGCAGGCAGAUUUUUUGUGUGUUCUCAAGUUUGCUCCACGUCUACCCUGUAGAUCCGAAUUUGUUUUACAUUAGCUUUAAGGACAAAUUCGGUUCUAGAGAGGUUUGUGUGGUUCAAUGUACAACGAAAAGAGAUUGAUGUUCAAGUGAAAAGUGUUGAAGUGAUUUGUCAAGUAAAUAAUUUGUUAAGUUAACUUAAUUAUUGUUAGAUAAAAUGAAGAUAUCUUAAAUGGAAUAUGCAUUGCCAAUAUUUACGAAAUUAUUACAUUAGUUUUGUUCUGUCUUUAUAUUAAGCUAAUUUUUGUUCAAUUACCUUAAAAGGCUUCGCUAAGGAUUGCCCUUUCAAAACUGUCAACAAACUGAAUAAAUGGCUCACUCUAAGAGAACCCACUUGACGACAGUCAAAUUCUCUAUUAAAUAGUCUUGAUAAUGAAACGUUCUUUUGACAUAAUUUUAUUGUAUUUCGAAUAUUUACCUUCAUUUAGAAGGGCAAGGCAAUGAUUCAGAGAUUAGUUUAAAAAUGUCUGACCAUAAAAUGACGUACCUUAAAGACACUUGAAAGUAAAUUGAAAAGAUUGUCACACAAGAUAGCAGCAUUAAUUUCUAAAUAGGGCUCCCCUCAU